CCUACGGGAGGCUGCAGCAAGGAAUCUUCCGCAAUGGGCGCAAGCCUGACGGAGCAACGCCGCGUGCGGGACGGAGCCCUUCGGGGUGUGAACCGCUUUUGCCGGGGACGAAGCGAUGACGGUACCCGGCGAAUCAGGGCCGGCUAACUACGUGCCAGCAGCCGCGGUAAUACGUGGGGCCCGAGCGUUGUCCGGAGUCACUGGGCGUAAAGCGCGCGCAGGCGGCCCGCCAAGUCCGGCGUGAAAGCCCCCGGCUCAACCGGGGAGGGUCGUCGGGGACUGGCGGGCUUGAGGGCGGCAGGGGCCGGUGGAAUGCCCGGUGUAGUGGUGAAAUGCGUAGAGAUCGGGCGGAACACCCGUGGCGAAGGCGGCCGGCUGGGCCGUUCCUGACGCUGAGGCGCGAAGGCGUGGGGAGCGAACGGGAUUAGAUACCCGGGUAGUC
rnacentral:rRNA from 1 species